AAGCCUUGAGGCAGUGGUUCGCAGAAUGUCCCUCUCCGAGCUCAAAUCAUGUAUUGAGACCUCGGUGUCAGAUGGCCAUCACUAGUGCGCACUUUGAACAUUACCAUCUCAGUUCAGUUAACAGUGAAUCAGUGUUGCUUUAACAAAACUACAACAUUUACUGAAGUAAUAAAAUCACAUGACUACACACUUGUUGUGUUUCAGUCCAUCAGAAUCCCUCAUCUUGACCAAAUAUCCCUCUAGUUUCUCAUGGUGUGACAGAGCUCGGUCCAACUUAAGUAUUAAAAAAAAAAAACAUUAUUAAAACUUUAAAGCAUCAAAAUGCAAAGUGAUUCUAUAUGACACACAAAUGCAUCAAAUCCUCACAAUGUGAGAAUCUGAAACCAGGAAAUAUUUGACAUUUUUGCUUAAAAAUGACAAAUUAUAACUUGAUUAUCAAUAUUUGCUGACUGAUAUUUAUACAUAUAUAUAUUUUGUUUGUUUGUUUGUUGAUAACUUACAUGAUCAGCUCUGCAGCCCUAGUCUUAAUAGUUUGUAUUCCAGUUAAAAAGUUUGUGAAAUUCAAAAAUAGCAUGUAGGAAGGUCAUUUUAAUUCAUGAGACCCACUGCUGAGCAGUCAGUCAUUUCAGCUUCCAGUUAAAUGUACAUUUGUUUCUAAAAAUUCAGGUGUGCUGAUUUCUACCUUUUCUUGGUUACAUGACUGGUGAAACCUAAGCAUGAUCAGACAGGGGUUUCAUCGACUCCGUUCAGACUCAGUUGAUCAUCUUCUGUCCCCUGAAUGUUUGAUUGUCCUCUUAAACUUUGCUGCAGGAAUCUUGGAUUUCGUCUGAUAAAUGGUCCAAAACCAGAAGACGAUUCAGAGCAAAUAUUCAUGUGUGAGAAGCUGCGAUCAGCGAGGUUUUGGACCUUUUGAGUAAAAUAACUUGAAUGAUAAAUCAAUCAGGUAAAUUGUUGCAGAUUCAUUUUCUGUUCUACUACAGUGAGUCUUGAAUUCUCUUCAAACAGUUUCCUUUAGUGAGUUGGAAUUUUGUGUGUGUCCUAUUCGGGCGAUAUGUCCUGCUGCCACUGUGUCUGAAAAGCAAGGUUUAAGUUUGAGGCAGUGCAGUGAACCACUUCCUUAUUUCACCCCAGCAGAUGGCAGCCUAACAUUUCAUUUCAAACCGCUUCUCUGUGGACCUACAUGGUUAUGAGGAUGUUCAUAUUUGACAUUUAAGUGGCUUAAUUAUUCGGACUCUAAUAAAGACUACAUGCUUCCUGUUUAAAGAAGAAAUAAAUCACAGAAUUACAGUUGAUAAAGGGGAAAUUCUGCCAUGUAAAGCUACACCUUUUUCAAGGACCACUUCUUGAAUGCACUAAAAACUCAAUGACCCCUGUCAGACUUUUGGAACUCCUGAAUAACUGGAGUUUCCUUUGUGAACACUUGAAACCCCUUUUAUGAUCCAUGAGGCCUUUCUACAACCACUGGAGCAUCUUCAGGGGCUGUUGCCACUUUCACAGGAACUCACCUGGUCGCACCAAGGACUUCUAGAACAUCCCCAAGGUGCCCAUAACUCAUGAAAGAACUACUGGGACACCAUCAGUAUUUAUGGGAUCAUCCAAAGGAUUUGCUGGAACACCUUCACAAACUCCUGAAUUCACCCAAGGACUCCUGUAACACCCUUCCAGGAUUUUGUAAAUCAAAAAAACUCUUAGGGGCCACUGUAUUUACUUCAAAAUCUCCUGGAAACCCCUCAAGGACCACUGGAUCUGCAGCCACAUAUUUAAGGCACCAAGUUCCUCAAGGGCCUCAGUAUUCCUGUGAGAACAUGCUGAACUCCCAGAAUUCCCUCAGGGCCCUCCUGAAGACGCAACAGCUCCCGAAGCCCUCCCAGAGAACAUGUUACAUCUCCAAGGAUUCCUGAGACACCUUAGAGAAGUUCAGGAGACCCUCACAGACUCCAGGUUUGUACGCUUAGCUUCUGGGAAACAACACUGUAUCUGUAGCCUGCUCACUGUGAAGGUGACAAUACUGCUCAGACCAUCCAGUUGACUGAGACUUCUUGGAAAAUCUGAAUCCUUGACUGCACCGCCAAGGACAAAGUGGUCACUGUGUGGAACUGCAGGGCCGCUCACAGAAAGGUAAGGCAUAUGUAAAACCUAUGGACAAUUUGUUUGUCUGUAGCAAGUCUUUGCAUGUUGAUUUCCAUAGAAAGCAUCAUAAGGGGGCCAAACUAAAGGUACUUUUGUUUUGUAGAACUGGUCAGCAGGCUUAGAACCAGCAGUCCACUCCUUUAAAUUGCACAGAAGAUCAGACUCUACCGUGGCACAGAACCAGCCUCCCGAUUAUAAUCCAGCCUUUUCCAGAUGUUAUUUCUUCCGCCGCAGAAUCUUGAGAACUAUCUAAUAUGCCACUGGGAGCUGAAGCUCAGUUUUGCUGUUCUUAUGUGAACACGGCUCACUAAUUUAGACUUUGAUUCAAGCAGGCAGCCUCUCACCAGUGACCAGCACAACUCUAAUCUAGCUAUCAAACAGUUCGAGUCAGUCGAGAGAUUUGGGUCGAGAUGAAAGAGGAUGAUGUGCAGUGUUUCCCCUAGGUUUACAGCUUUUGGGGGGUGGCAGCGGCGAUCAUGUAGAGACAGAAAUGACAUGAUGUCGUGUAAAUAAGAUAAAUAACAUAAGGCUAUUUAGUUUGUUUAAAAAAAGAACAUGGUACAGACCUGUUCUAUAGGAAAGGUAACCUUAAAUGACUUCUGCUGUGAUCUGGCGCUAUAUAGAAAAUAAAAUUAAAUAAAAUGAACUUGACCUUCAAGGGGGGUGGGGUGCCCCCCUAAUAUAAUGGUAGGGGAAACACUGGCUAAAAGCAAAGCAAAAAAGGGAAAGGCCUCGAUAGCUGCUACUGCUAUGUGCAGCUGCCAUGUUGGUACAGGGCCACGGUGCCUCUUAAUGCAUGUCUAUCCACAGAACUAAAAUUCACUGAAUUCAUUUUAGUCUGUUUUCGCAGCACUUUGGUUUGUCACAGAUCCAGAGCACUUCAUGUAGAUAGAACCACUAAUGCUUCUAUGACACAGUAUUUAAGAUGAUCUUGGCCUUACAUAGUUCUGUCUUACUUGCAUGCCACAGUUCUUUUACAAAAUUAUGUUUCUAGUGAAACAGUGUUUUGCUGAUUUACAUUUUCAAUUCACACAUUUACACAACCCAGUGUUUGGUUCCAGUGUCUCAGCAGGGCUGUGCAGCUGCAGGCUCGGUCCAUACUAUUGGACUACUGUACAGUGCUACCAGCUCUUUUCUUUUUUUUGGAACUGUUGCAUAUUAGUUACACAUUUGUGCUUUUACAGCCAACAUGGAGGUGACAUUUUGUCAUGUUAGCAAACAUUUUAAGUAAGGAUUAAUUGAAAUAAAUUCAACAUGAUAGCAACAGUGGUGGUAAUAUUAUUUCCUGUUGUGUUCCUUUCAUUACAACAUCCAAAAGCAGCGCAGACCUCCAGUGUUUUCUACUCUGUGGUGGUGGGAGAGAAAACAGUCCUGAUGUAUUUGAAACAACAGACUUGAAAGUUGUGACAAAUACAUCAGAUGUGCAUGGAGUGAUACAGAGUUCUCUACAUAAUGUGUUCUCAUAACUCUACAUACUGUAAAUAAUAAUACCUCCUGAGCCACAAACGUGGCUUGUAUAGCACAUUUCUAUCCUUUAUGCUGGCUUUCACACUACUCUAUUCACCCAUUCGCACUCUCAAGUGCUCACACAUUAACUGGACAAGCCGGGAAUCCUCCUGAGCCGCCCUCGCUUUCUUCAUCACACCUUUCUCCUGUUUCAGGAGGCACUUCACUUAACUUCACUCUAUCUUCAUCUAUCUUAAAUAGAUUAGAUCUUAUUUAGAUGACAUCUGUCUUAGGCCCAGAAUAGACUGUUGGAAAAUCAACUGGAGAAAACUGAAUUUUGUUUAUUCAGUAAACGAACUUGUGGUGGUUAACACCACUGACUUUGGUACGGCAAGUCGGGGUUCGAUUCACUGUCCCUGUCACCUCCUCAAACCAAGCAAACUGAUAUACACACACCCACACACACACACGCUGCACCUCCAGCCAGCUCUGUGUUGUCUUAACGGGCAGACGGACUCCCAGGAGGAUUGUGGGAAGCCGAAUAUCUUAACGAGAGUGUGACCUCCUGCUGAGUGGGUGGCUCAUUAGCAUAUUAACAUCAUGAAUAUGUGCACAAUUAAUGAAGGGCCUCUGCAGACUUCCUGUCAGUCUCUGUGUUUGCUCAGGUCUGAGAAAAUUUACUGGAACGAAGAUGGAGAAAUCAGCUGAACUUGUGAUGGAAGUGUUGUCACUGUGGGGAACUGCUAAUCCUGACUCCAGGUCCAGUAACAGGCUGCUUGUGACGCUUUCAGCCACUACUCCCAGUGAAGGCUAGUGAGCCGCAGCACCCUGGGUCCCCAGAGCAGAUGUAGGGCACAUCCAAGGAGUCGUCUAUCUGCUCUGAGGAGCGAGGAUACACCAGAGCAUCCCUUGUGGAAGACUUUUAGGAGCCAACACACCCCUUUGCCCGAAAUCAGUUUGCAUUUCAGAGGGCAGAAUGUCUCAUGUCAGUAAUUGUCCCCUUGAAUCUUACAUGGAAGGAACUAAAACACAAGUGAGUGGAACAUGGGCCUUUAUAAGUAGCUGGAUAUCCAGGGAUUUAUCCAGGGACAUCACCAUGAUGGGCGACAGGAACGACUUCUGGGGGAACAGGGAUCGAGGAGAGAUGAACAGUGACAUAAGGGACACUUUGUUGUUGAUGGAUUUAGUUUUUUUUUUCUUUUAAAAGAGGCCUUAUUACAUCUGGCAGGGGACUGCAGGUUAAGAUAAACCUCUGGCCAGCUCUGGUGCAUUUACAUAAACACUUAUCAAUGAACUCUGUGACUGUGUAAAAUAAAUUAGGUAUGAUCUCCCUGAGCAGUGAGUCGGUGUGCAUGAGCUCGUCACUGGAUGCCAGGGCCUCAGUGUCUGUAUGUUUCUCUUGUUAAUGUUAGUUUGUAUGUGUGACACACGUGCGUGUUUGUGUGUGCGCCCG